GACGAACGCUGGCGGCGUGCCUAAUACAUGCAAGUAGAACGCUGAAGGAGGAGCUUGCUCUUCUGGAUGAGUUGCGAACGGGUGAGUAACGCGUAGGUAACCUGCCUGGUAGCGGGGGAUAACUAUUGGAAACGAUAGCUAAUACCGCAUAACAGUAGAUGUUGCAUGACAUUUGCUUAAAAGGUGCAAUUGCACCACUACCAGAUGGACCUGCGUUGUAUUAGCUAGUUGGUGGGGUAACGGCUCACCAAGGCGACGAUACAUAGCCGACCUGAGAGGGUGACCGGCCACACUGGGACUGAGACACGGCCCAGACUCCUACGGGAGGCAGCAGUAGGGAAUCUUCGGCAAUGGACGGAAGUCUGACCGAGCAACGCCGCGUGAGUGAAGAAGGUUUUCGGAUCGUAAAGCUCUGUUGUAAGAGAAGAACGAGUGUGAGAGUGGAAAGUUCACACUGUGACGGUAUCUUACCAGAAAGGGACGGCUAACUACGUG
rnacentral:rRNA from 1 species